rnacentral:rRNA from 1 species
GUAGUUAGCCGGGGCUUCCUCCUUGGCUACCGUCACUUUCUUCGUCACCAAGGACAGAGGUUUACAACCCGAAAGCCUUCUUCCCUCACGCGGCGUUGCUGGGUCAGGCUUGCGCCCAUUGCCCAAUAUUCCCCACUGCUGCCUCCCGUAGGAGUCUGGACCGUGUCUCAGUUCCAGUGUGGCCGAUCAGCCUCUCAGCUCGGCUACCCAUCGUUGGCUAGGUGGGCCGUUACCCCGCCUACUACCUAAUGGGACGCGAACCCCUCCUUUAGCGGAUUUCUCCUUUGACCUCUGUGUCAUGCGGCACUGUGGUCUUAUGCGGUAUUAGCACCUGUUUCCAACUGUUGUCCCCCUCCGAAGGGCAGGUUGCUCACGCGUUACUCACCCGUCCGCCGCUAAUCCACUUCCGAAGAAGCUUCAUCGCUCGACUUGCAUGUGUUAAGCACGCCGCCAGCGUUCGUCCUGAGCCAGGAUCAAACUCUGA